CGAUUUUGAGCUAGCGCCGACGCGCCCUAUAUUCCGACUCGUCCGGGCUUGCCCGGACUAUGGCGAUAAACGCGCGGAGAUAGGCGGAUCGGACCCGGGUGCGAUUCCCGGCGGCUCCACCAGCCUUCGCUCGCUUCGCGAGCUACGGCUAGGCAAGCCUGAGUGCUGACUUCGGGGCGAAGCGAGCGAAGGCUGUCUCGCCGAAGCCCGAAGGGCGAAGGCGGACCUAGGCGCAGCAAGCGUUGAGCGCAGGCGGACCUUUCGUUGGAAGUCCACGAGGGGCCGAACAGGAUCGACGGACGUUGAAGGACGUGGCUUUCGCUCGGGUGGUCCCGUUACAGGCCAAACAGCAAUAGUUGCCAACGACAACACUGCUGAGGGUUAUGCUCUCGCCGCGUAAGCGGUUGGAGGAAAACCCACUUUAAGCCCUGCGGUCUCGCAACCGCAGGCGGGGCUCCCCGGCGCCCGGCAACAGAAGCCGGGGAUU
rnacentral:tmRNA from 1 species